AAAAGUCGUAACAAGGUUUCCGUAGGUGAACCUGCGGAAGGAUCAUUAGUGAAUAUAGGACGUCCAACUUAACUUGGAGUCCGAACUCUCACUUUCUAACCCUGUGCACUUGUUUGGGAUAGUAACUCUCGCAAGAGAGCGAACUCCUAUUCACUUAUAAACACAAAGUCUAUGAAUGUAUUAAAUUUUAUAACAAAAUAAAACUUUCAACAACGGAUCUCUUGGCUC
rnacentral:misc_RNA from 1 species